ensembl:lncRNA
CUGUCAGGUCCUUUCCUAAUGGUCUCCUGUCAGGUCCUUUCCUAACGGUCUCCUGUCAGGUCCUUUCCUAAUGGUCUCCUGUCAGGUCCUUUCCUAACAGUCAGGUCCUUUCCUAACAGUCAUGUCCUUUCCUAACGGUCUCCUGUCAGGUCCUUUCCUAACUGUCUCCUGUCAGGUCCUUUCCUAAUGGUCUCCUGUCAGGUCCUUUCCUAACGGUCAUGUCCUUUCCUAACGGUCUCCUGUCAGGUCCUUUCCUAACUGUCUCCUGUCAGGUCCUUUCCUAAUGGUCUCCUGUCAGGUCCUUUCCUAACGGUCUCCUGUCAGGUCCUUUCCUAAUGGUCUCCUGUCAGGUCCUUUCCUAACGGUCAGGUCCUUUCCUAACGGUCAGGUCCUUUCCUAACGGUCUCCUGUCAGGUCCUUUCCUAACGGUCAGGUCCUUUCCUAACGGUCUCCUGUCAGGUCCUUUCCUAAC